UGGACACUAGAGAGAAUGCAGCUUUAACACAUGAAGCAUUGCCGCCUGUUGUUUAGCUUUACACAGAAGAGGCAGCUCGCGAGCAGAUCCUCGGCAGGAAACACGUUUUUAAAGUUGAGUGUUCGCGCUGAAAGUUAAAACCUCCCUACCUCUUUACACACACGGGUGUAGUGUUUGAGUUUCCGCACACAUCUGUCAUCGUUAAAUAAGUCAAAUUAAAGUAACGCCCGCCCUCUUGUCGCCCCCCACAGAACAGCAGUCACUCUCCGGGGCCGAUGAAGGGCCCCACCGUCGCGGCCCGGCUCAAAUACCUCCAGCAAGGCAGCCUGGAGAGGCCCAAAGCCCGCAAGCAGAAAGAGGAUUUCCCCAAAGUCCAGGGCCAGCAGCAGUGCUGAGAUUUGUUUCGUGCUCCAGCAGUAAACGCUGCUCAUGCUUUCUGGCCGAUCACCAUCAGUUCCUCUGACGUUUCCCUCCGCUGCUUCUUCUCCGUGAGCAGAUCUGCCUCUUUGCUUUCUUUCAUUCUCUGUCUGCUUCUCAGGUCUCAGCUGGACUAAUAACGUGAGGAUCAGCCUCGGAUCAGUCUGCUUCUGGACUCGUACUCUAGUUCAGACCUUGAAAGUGUGAGAUUUUGUCAUUUGAAUAAAUUUGUCCGACUUGAUGAGCUCAGAGGGAGACAGAGAGGAUGAUAGCACAUUAAUAAUUAGAUGAAGUGAUCACAUCUCUCCCUCAUCGGACUGCAUUAGACACGUCGGAUAAAGAUUUAGACAUUUGGAGGUAAUUGCAUCGGCUCUAAACCUGCAGUCUGAAUCCAGCGGGGGGAACAAUCUGAACACAAUAUCUGUGUCCCAAUUACUCACUACCCACCGAGCAGAGUGUGUCCACGACACUCAGAGAAGCCAGUCUCCAAAAUAGUUUGUCAACAGUCGGUACGGACACAUGUUUAGUACUGCUCUUCCAUGAAGUUUGGGGACGGAUUGAAGUAAGAAUUUAGUCAAAAUUCGAUCAACAAAUACCCCAAAAUCUUAGUCGCUAAUGUUGGUCAAACUCCAAACAACCGGGAUCCUACAUUUCCCAUAAUGCACCUUGAUAGCGUGUUACAAUCAAGCGACCAGUAUGUUUCUUCAGAACUGCUUGUUCUCCUCAUUCCUCCGUCGGAUUAAAGGAUUAAAUAGAUUUAAACUUCUCUCUCCAUGUGAACAAACACUAUGAAUGUCUUCCAGGAGAAACGGUCUGAAAAUGUCUGAAAAUGUGCUCCAUUAUAUCUGAUUUUAAGCGACUUCACGCCUCCUCGCACUCUGUAACGGCUUUUGACUUGUUCGGAUCCGGUGUAAACGCGUUUAAUACCCGACGUCGUACAAAAACAAACAAAUAAAAUCCAGGAAGUCCAGUUUGAGUAACGGAUCCAUGAGUGUGAAGGUUCAUCAGUCGCUAAAACACAAAACUCUGUCGCUGUGGUGACUUUUCAUCGAUGCCGUUCCUGCUGUAAAGUAAUCUACCGGGAUGUUUGUGAUUGGCUUGUUGACGGAUCACGUUGUGAUGAAAGUUGAGGCAGGUUCGACUUUCUUGAUACGCCAAGUAGACUGAUCUUCAUGUGCAGAUGAGUUGGAGUUUCCCUUUAAAGGGCCGGUGUGCAGCGUUUAGGUGGAUCUAUUAGCAAAAACAUAUUAUUAAGUAUGUUUUCAUUGGUGUUUAUUCACCUGAAACUAAGAAUCAACGUGUUUUCGUGACAUUAGAAUGAGUCGUUUAUAUCUUCUUCACAGAGUCCGCCAUGUUUCUACGGUGGCCCAGAGCGGGCAAACCAAACCAUGGAUCUCGAUAGGGACAUUUAGGUUUCUCUUCUUCAGAUUGACACACUGGAAAAGUUUCAGUUGGUUGCGAUCUGUAGUCUCACCACUAGAUGGCGCCAGAAUCCUGCACACUGACCCUUUAAAACUAAAUGUGGAUGUUCCGAGAGAAAAGCUCAGGAAGAUCUUGAAAAACAGAUCAAUUCGCAGUUUGAUUGACGUGUAUAAGAAAAGUACAUCAGAAAACAACCCAUACUAUUAAGAUUAGUAUAUAAUAUAAAGUAUGUAGUAUGAGGUGUGAAAUUGGGACACAGCCAGGAUUUUACUGUCACAUUUCUUUGUUCUUUGUUAACGUGACGGAUAUUUGAACUGUGUCUAAAACAACGAGACGAAGACGGACUUUGUUCUGUUUGACAUUUAGCUGGAGGAAAAUAUUAACGUCUCGCUGUGAGUGUGUACUUAUACCACAGGCAGAUGUUUCACCGUGUAGUAAAUACAUUUAUGGAAUGUAUUAGUAGACAGUUAAAGUAUAACCGGAACCACUUCACAGAUAUAUUGUAUGUAUAUUAUAAAACCAUUUUUCUUUUGAAGAAAUCGCUUUAUUAACAUGUAAAAAAGAAAAAGCAUCAUCUAUGUUUUAUAUAAUCAAGGUUUUUUUGUAUUUUUAUACUUGAAGAUGAGGAUUCAUGAGCAUGUAACACAUUUAUUCUGUAAAUUAUUAUUUUUCUGAUUUUAAACCAUUGAAACCAUGAUCACACAGCAGCGGGAGGUUCUCCAGAAGAAUACACAAGUACCACCACAUUUAUAAAAAAGCACAUAUUCCCUCUACUAUAACCAAUAGUCUCUACGUACACGGCACAGUUUAAACUCUAUCGGUGGUUUAUGAUGAAUGUGUGAUUGUUCAAACCAUUUGUGGAAGUUCAAAAAUGUAUAUAAACCCAAAUGAUAUAUUACAAAAGUUUUAUGUGGAAAUUUUUUUAGACGGGGGGGGAAAGAAAAGAUAAAGCUAAUCUAAAAAGGCAUGCAUACUGUAAACAUUCCUGGACAUCUGCACGCGGCGUCGACACAGGUCAAAUCUUCUCGUCAAUAAUUCUGUGUAUACUUGUGAGUGUAUGAUAGAGUAAACAACAACUGUACAGUAACAUAGAUUUUUCUAUUAUGUUGAAAAAUGGGUGAGCGAAGCCCCUUUUACUGUCAGAAUAAAUACAAAAAGAUGAUUAUUGUUAUUAUUAUACGUGUUGAGAAAGAUAUCGGGACGAUGUUGUAUCUCAACUGUUCCUCCAGUCUGAGAGUGAUGCUCGCUGUGUGCGGUAAGUGUUGUUUGUGAAUUGUGAAGAAGAAUGAUAAUCUACUACCGAGUCAGUAUAACUUACUAAAGACCAACUAAACAGAGCAACACACCAAGCGCAACUUUGUGUGUGGAGAGUAAAAGUUGCUGCUUCGUGUGAGAAAAAAAUCAACCAAUCACAAAAAAAAGAAGAAAACUGAACAAAGGUUUGCUGCUUUUGUAAAUUCCUGUUGUGUUUUUGUGACAAUAAAGGUGACCCUCUUAUACACGA